AUUGAACGCUGGCGGCAUGCUUUACACAUGCAAGUCGAACGGCAGCGCGGGGCAACCUGGCGGCGAGUGGCGAACGGGUGAGUAAUAUAUCGGAACGUACCCAGAAGUGGGGGAUAACGUAGCGAAAGUUACGCUAAUACCGCAUACGAUCUACGGAUGAAAGUAGGGGACCGCAAGGCCUUAUGCUUUUGGAGCGGCCGAUAUCUGAUUAGCUAGUUGGUGAGGUAAAGGCUCACCAAGGCGACGAUCAGUAGCUGGUCUGAGAGGACGACCAGCCACACUGGAACUGAGACACGGUCCAGACUCCUAAGGGAGGCAGCAGUGGGGAAUUUUGGACAAUGGGCGCAAGCCUGAUCCAGCAAUGCCGCGUGAGUGAAGAAGGCCUUCGGGUUGUAAAGCUCUUUUGUCAGGGAAGAAACGGUAGAGGCUAAUAUCCUUUGCUAAUGACGGUACCUGAAGAAUAAGCACCGGCUAACUACGUG
rnacentral:rRNA from 1 species